rnacentral:rRNA from 1 species
ACAUCGAGUGGCACGCAUAUUGUGUGUCUGUCCACCCGUCUAAAAAACGGGUGUUAGCAAGGGCCGGGCAAGACCGGUGCCAGCCGCCGCGGUAAUACCGGCGGCUCGAGUGGUGGCCGAUAUUAUUGAGUCUAAAGGGUCCGUAGCCGGCUUUGCAAGUCUUUUGGGAAAUCCAGCGGCUUAACCGUUGGGCGUCUGAGAGGUACUACAUUGCUUGGGACUGGGAGAGGCGAGAGGUACUCAAGGGGUAGGAGUGAAAUCCUGUAAUCCUUUGGGGACCACCGGUGGCGAAGGCGUCUCGCCAGAACAGGUCCGACGGUGAGGGACGAAAGCUAGGGGCACGAACCGGAUUAGAUACCCGGGUAGUCCUAGCCGUAAACGAUGCUCGCUAGGUGUCACGGCAGUCGUGAACUGCCGUGGUGCCGUAGGGAAGCCGUGAAGCGAGCCACUUGGGAAGUACGACCGCAAGGUUGAAACUUAAAGGAAUUGGCGGGGGAGCACCACAACGGGUGGAGCCUGCGGUUUAAUUGGACUCAACGCCGGGAAGCUUACCGGGAUCGACAGUUGUAUGAAGGCCAGGCUGAAGACCUUGCCGGACUAGCUGAGAGGAGGUGCAUGGCC